rnacentral:rRNA from 1 species
CAAUAGCGUAUAUUUAAGUUGUUGCAGUUAAAAAGCUCGUAGUCGGAUUUUGGCUGAGAACGAUCGGUCCGCCGUUAGGUGUGCACUGAUUGGUCUCAGCUUCCUGGUGAGGAGGUGUGCUUCACGGCCACUUAGUCACCGUGGUUACUUUGAAAAAAUUAGAGUGUUCAAAGCGGGCUUACGCUUGAAUAUAUUAGCAUGGAAUAACACCAUAGGACUCCUGUCCUAUUUCGUUGGUCUCGGGACGGGAGUAAUGAUUAAGAGGAACAGUUGGGGGCAUUCGUAUUUCAUUGUCAGAGGUGAAAUUCUUGGAUUUAUGAAAGACGAACUUCUGCGAAAGCAUUUGCCAAGGAUGGUUUCAUUGA